AUUGAACGCUGGCAGCAGGCUUAACACAUGCAAGUCGAGCGGAGAUGAGGUGCUUGCACCUUAUCUUAGCGGCGGACGGGUGAGUAAUGCUUAGGAAUCUGCCUAUUAGUGGGGGACAACAUUCCGAAAGGAAUGCUAAUACCGCAUAAGCCCUACGGGGGAAAGCAGGGGAUCUUCGGACCUUGCGCUAAUAGAUGAGCCUAAGUCGGAUUAGCUAGUUGGUGGGGUAAAGGCCUACCAAGGCGACGAUCUGUAGCGGGUCUGAGAGGAUGAUCCGCCACACUGGGACUGAGACACGGCCCAGACUCCUACGGGAGGCAGCAGUGGGGAAUAUUGGACAAUGGGCGGAAGCCUGAUCCAGCCAUGCCGCGUGUGUGAAGAAGGCCUUUUGGUUGUAAAGCACUUUAAGCGAGGAGGAGGCUACCUGGAUUAAUACUCUAGGAUAGUGGACGUUACUCGCAGAAUAAGCACCGGCUAACUCUGUGCCAGCCGCCGCGGUAAGAC
rnacentral:rRNA from 1 species